rnacentral:rRNA from 1 species
GACGAACGCUGGCGGCGUGCUUAACACAUGCAAGUCGAACGGUAAGGCCCUUCGGGGUACACGAGUGGCGAACGGGUGAGUAACACGUGGGUGAUCUGCCCUGCACUUCGGGAUAAGCCUGGGAAACUGGGUCUAAUACCGGAUAGGACCACUGCCUGCAUGGGUGGUGGUGGAAAGCUUUUGCGGUGUGGGAUGGGCCCGCGGCCUAUCAGCUUGUUGGUGGGGUGAUGGCCGACCAAGGCGACGACGGGUAGCCGGCCUGAGAGGGUGACCGGCCAAACUGGGACUACGAUACGGCCCAGACUCCUGCGGGAGGCAGCAGUGGGGAAUAUUGCACAGUGGGCGCAAGCCUGAUGCUGCGACGCCGCCUGAGGGAUGGCGGCCUUCGGGUUGUAAGCCUCUUUCAGCACCGACGAAGCGCAAGUGACGGUAGGUGCAGAAGAAGGACCGGCCAACUACGUGCCAGCCGCCGCCGUAA